rnacentral:rRNA from 1 species
UAGGGAAUCUUCGGCAAUGGACGAAAGUCUGACCGAGCAACGCCGCGUGAGUGAAGAAGGUUUUCGGAUCGUAAAACUCUGUUGUUAGAGAAGAACAAGGACGUUAGUAACUGAACGUCCCCUGACGGUAUCUAACCAGAAAGCCACGGCUAACUACGUGCCAGCAGCCGCGGUAAUACGUAGGUGGCAAGCGUUGUACGGAUUUAUUGGGCGUAAAGCGAGCGCAGGCGGUUUCUUAAGUCUGAUGUGAAAGCCCCCGGCUCAACCGGGGAGGGUCAUUAGAAACUGGGAGACUUGAGUGCAGAAGAGGAGAGUGGAAUUCCAUGUGUAGCGGUGAAAUGCGUAGAUAUAUGGAGGAACACCAGUGGCGAAGGCGGCUCUCUGGUCUGUAACUGACGCUGAGGCUCGAAAGCGUGGGGAGCAAACAGG